CCUACGGGAGGCAGCAGUGGGGAAUAUUGGACAAUGGGCGAAAGCCUGAUCCAGCCAUGCCGCGUGUGUGAAGAAGGCCUUCGGGUUGUAAAGCACUUUCAGUGGGGAAGAAAGCCUUGGGGCUAAUACCCUCGAGGAAGGACAUCACCCACAGAAGAAGCACCGGCUAACUCCGUGCCAGCAGCCGCGGUAAUACGGAGGGUGCGAGCGUUAAUCGGAAUUACUGGGCGUAAAGCGCGCGUAGGCGGUCUGAUAAGCCGGUUGUGAAAGCCCCGGGCUCAACCUGGGAACGGCAUCCGGAACCGUCAGGCUAGAGUGCAGGAGAGGAAGGUAGAAUUCCCGGUGUAGCGGUGAAAUGCGUAGAGAUCGGGAGGAAUACCAGUGGCGAAGGCGGCCUUCUGGACUGACACUGACGCUGAGGUGCGAAAGCGUGGGUAGCAAACAGGAUUAGAUACCCGGGUAGUC
rnacentral:rRNA from 1 species